rnacentral:rRNA from 1 species
GGGUUGUGAGGUUAAGCGACUAAGCGUACACGGUGGAUGCCCUGGCAGUCAGAGGCGAUGAAGGACGUGCUAAUCUGCGAUAAGCGUCGGUAAGGUGAUAUGAACCGUUAUAACCGGCGAUUUCCGAAUGGGGAAACCCAGUGUGAUUCGUCACACUAUCAUUAACUGAAUCCAUAGGUUAAUGAGGCGAACCGGGGGAACUGAAACAUCUAAGUACCCCGAGGAAAAGAAAUCAACCGAGAUUCCCCCAGUAGCGGCGAGCGAACGGGGAGCAGCCCAGAGCCUGAAUCAGUGUGUGUGUUAGUGGAAGCGUCUGGAAAGGCGCGCGAUACAGGGUGACAGCCCCGUACACAAAAAUGCACAUACUGUGAGCUCGAUGAGUAGGGCGGGACACGUGGUAUCCUGUCUGAAUAUGGGGGGACCAUCCUCCAAGGCUAAAUACUCCUGACUGACCGAUAGUGAACCAGUACCGUGAGGGAAAGGCGAAAAGAACCCCGGCGAGGGGAGUGAAAAAGAACCUGAAACCGUGUACGUACAAGCAGUGGGAGCACGCUUAGGCGUGUGACUGCGUACCUUUUGUAUAAUGGGUCAGCGACUUAUAUUCUGUAGCAAGGUUAACCGAAUAGGGGAGCCGAAGGGAAACCGAGUCUUAACUGGGCGUUAAGUUGCAGGGUAUAGACCCGAAACCCGGUGAUCUAGCCAUGGGCAGGUUGAAGGUUGGGUAACACUAACUGGAGGACCGAACCGACUAAUGUUGAAAAAUUAGCGGAUGACUUGUGGCUGGGGGUGAAAGGCCAAUCAAACCGGGAGAUAGCUGGUUCUCCCCGAAAGCUAUUUAGGUAGCGCCUCGUGAAUUCAUCUCCGGGGGUAGAGCACUGUUUCGGCAAGGGGGUCAUCCCGACUUACCAACCCGAUGCAAACUGCGAAUACCGGAGAAUGUUAUCACGGGAGACACACGGCGGGUGCUAACGUCCGUCGUGAAGAGGGAAACAACCCAGACCGCCAGCUAAGGUCCCAAAGUCAUGGUUAAGUGGGAAACGAUGUGGGAAGGCCCAGACAGCCAGGAUGUUGGCUUAGAAGCAGCCAUCAUUUAAAGAAAGCGUAAUAGCUCACUGGUCGAGUCGGCCUGCGCGGAAGAUGUAACGGGGCUAAACCAUGCACCGAAGCUGCGGCAGCGACGCUUAUGCGUUGUUGGGUAGGGGAGCGUUCUGUAAGCCUGCGAAGGUGUACUGUGAGGCAUGCUGGAGGUAUCAGAAGUGCGAAUGCUGACAUAAGUAACGAUAAAGCGGGUGAAAAGCCCGCUCGCCGGAAGACCAAGGGUUCCUGUCCAACGUUAAUCGGGGCAGGGUGAGUCGACCCCUAAGGCGAGGCCGAAAGGCGUAGUCGAUGGGAAACAGGUUAAUAUUCCUGUACUUGGUGUUACUGCGAAGGGGGGACGGAGAAGGCUAUGUUGGCCGGGCGACGGUUGUCCCGGUUUAAGCGUGUAGGCUGGUUUUCCAGGCAAAUCCGGAAAACUAAGGCUGAGGCGUGAUGACGAGGCACUACGGUGCUGAAGCAACAAAUGCCCUGCUUCCAGGAAAAGCCUCUAAGCAUCAGGUAACAUCAAAUCGUACCCCAAACCGACACAGGUGGUCAGGUAGAGAAUACCAAGGCGCUUGAGAGAACUCGGGUGAAGGAACUAGGCAAAAUGGUGCCGUAACUUCGGGAGAAGGCACGCUGAUAUGUAGGUGAAGUCCCUCGCGGAUGGAGCUGAAAUCAGUCGAAGAUACCAGCUGGCUGCAACUGUUUAUUAAAAACACAGCACUGUGCAAACACGAAAGUGGACGUAUACGGUGUGACGCCUGCCCGGUGCCGGAAGGUUAAUUGAUGGGGUCAGCGCAAGCGAAGCUCUUGAUCGAAGCCCCGGUAAACGGCGGCCGUAACUAUAACGGUCCUAAGGUAGCGAAAUUCCUUGUCGGGUAAGUUCCGACCUGCACGAAUGGCGUAAUGAUGGCCAGGCUGUCUCCACCCGAGACUCAGUGAAAUUGAACUCGCUGUGAAGAUGCAGUGUACCCGCGGCAAGACGGAAAGACCCCGUGAACCUUUACUAUAGCUUGACACUGAACAUUGAGCCUUGAUGUGUAGGAUAGGUGGGAGGCUUUGAAGUGUGGACGCCAGUCUGCAUGGAGCCGACCUUGAAAUACCACCCUUUAAUGUUUGAUGUUCUAACGUGGACCCGUAAUCCGGGUUGCGGACAGUGUCUGGUGGGUAGUUUGACUGGGGCGGUCUCCUCCUAAAGAGUAACGGAGGAGCACGAAGGUUGGCUAAUCCUGGUCGGACAUCAGGAGGUUAGUGCAAUGGCAUAAGCCAGCUUGACUGCGAGCGUGACGGCGCGAGCAGGUGCGAAAGCAGGUCAUAGUGAUCCGGUGGUUCUGAAUGGAAGGGCCAUCGCUCAACGGAUAAAAGGUACUCCGGGGAUAACAGGCUGAUACCGCCCAAGAGUUCAUAUCGACGGCGGUGUUUGGCACCUCGAUGUCGGCUCAUCACAUCCUGGGGCUGAAGUAGGUCCCAAGGGUAUGGCUGUUCGCCAUUUAAAGUGGUACGCGAGCUGGGUUUAGAACGUCGUGAGACAGUUCGGUCCCUAUCUGCCGUGGGCGCUGGAGAACUGAGGGGGGCUGCUCCUAGUACGAGAGGACCGGAGUGGACGCAUCACUGGUGUUCGGGUUGUCAUGCCAAUGGCACUGCCCGGUAGCUAAAUGCGGAAGAGAUAAGUGCUGAAAGCAUCUAAGCACGAAACUUGCCCCGAGAUGAGUUCUCCCUGACUCCUUGAGAGUCCUGAAGGAACGUUGAAGACGACGACGUUGAUAGGCCGGGUGUGUAAGCGCAGCGAUGCGUUGAGCUAACCGGUACUAAUGAACCGUGAGGCUUAACCUUACAACGCCGAAGGUGUUU